UUCACCCACUGUACCGUGCUCGGUGGUGCUAAUUGUCAGCGGCCAGUUGCAACCACAGCUGUCCAUCACUUAAAUUAAAAAGGGCUUGAUUAAAGCGGGCACUGACUUAAUUCUCUUAUUUUCUAGGUACGGGACUUAUAGACUCAUAGACUUGUACGGGACGACUUAUAGGGCUAAUGACCUGGUAAAGAGAAGGGUUUAUAAAUAAGAUGGAAUAGUUGCUCCAGGGCGUCUUAAUACUAUAUUAAAUAUUACAUAUUUAUUAUUCAUAAUACAUUAAAAGAAAACAUAGUCUCUACAAAGACUGUCCGGAAUAUGUUCCAAAGAAUACAGGACAGCUGGAAACUAAACGCUUAUCGAGCAGGUAGAAAGGUCAUCGGGUGUUCGCUGACAGAUUUAUGAUCCAUGGGUGCAAAAAGUGUAAAACCUGUCUUGACCCUGCCAGCUGACCGACAGCCAAAUGUUGCAAUGCCCAAAAAAAAAGGAGAUUGCCCGAAAAUCAAGAAGCCAGACGAGGUGAGUUUAGCCAACUGAGUUGGCCAAGUUGAGCGCCGCGUUAAAUGUGCAAUCGGAACGUGACUUAGUCUUGGCCAACAAUCACCAAAAAAAAAGGAAACAAAAAACAGCAAAGCCCAACAUCGAAAGCCACUCAAAUUAAAGUUAAAUAGGAGGUCGGAGGUCAUCCACAACCAUAACCAACACCUCAGGAAAGUGGCAGGAGCCAAAGUGAAAGAGACCGCCCGCGGCUUCCAUUUACCGCCUGUUUAAUUUAUGCUAAACGCGUCGCGUCUUUGCAUUUAAUUGUGAAAUUAAAUUUGAUGCGAUUAAUGUUGACACAACAUGCGAUUAGUGCAAGCGAACUACACUGUGGAAAUAAGUGGAUCACACCAUCUAGCAUAGAAAAUAUAGAAACUAAACAUAGCUAUCUGUAUUAAAAAGAAAGUAUUUCAUGUUAUAAAGUUGUGAAAUUAAUUAUA